GUCCAUCAAGAUGGACCUGAGCAGUUCUUCAAAGUAAAUGAUGAGUUUGGGGAGGAAAAGAGCCAGAGGAGGAAAUUAUAGGGCAUUUCUCUCUGAUAAGAUGCGAUGUCAAGAUGCAGAAGAUCGGGGAUACAAUACACAGAGUUGUUGCUGCCCUAAGGCACAAAGGACCCUAGGCCACGCCUCUGUGACACUUGGAUUGCCAAUGAAAUAGUGUUUUUGGUGAAAUAAAGACUCUAGUUACAAAGGACAUCGUCAGUCAUCAGAUGUAACUCCGUCCUCCGACAGGUGAAACGACGUCCCACCUCAGACCAAUCGCCGUCAGUCGUCAGCUGCAACUACGUCCGCCGUCAGGCAAAACGGCAUCCCGCCUCCUCCCUCGGACCAAUCACAGUCAGUCCUCAGCCGCAACUACGUCCUCCGUCAGGCGAAACGGUGUCCCGCCUCCUCCCUCACACCAAUCGCUGUCAUCCUUCAGCCACAACUCCCUCAUCCAAAAGUCCCUUAUCCAAAACGCCAUCAUGCCUCAGACGACUCUCCCUCAGACGCAACUUCCUGCCGCAUAGCAGAGCCGAUGCUGAGCAGCACUGUAUAGCAGAAUCGACAUUGAAUAGCAUGUACAGCAGAACCCGUAUAGCAGAGAGACGACACUGACUCGGCUCUGCUACACGGCAGGAAGGUUUUUCAUCUGAGGGAAGACAGAGUUUUGGAUGAGAGACUUAAGGAUGAAAGAGUUUUGGAUGAGAGACUUUAGGAUGACAAAGGAGGGAGGAGGGAGUUGCGGCUGGCGCCUGACGGAGAUUGGUCCGAGGGAGGAGGCGGGACGUUGUUUUGCCUGAUGGAUGACGGAGGUACGG